rnacentral:rRNA from 1 species
UACGGAGGGUGCAAGCGUUAUCCGGAUUCACUGGGUUUAAAGGGUGCGUAGGUGGGUUGGUAAGUCAGUGGUGAAAUCUCCGUGCUUAACAUGGAAACUGCCAUUGAUACUACUGAUCUUGAAUUUUCAGGAGGUAAGCGGAAUAUGUCAUGUAGCGGUGAAAUGCUUAGAUAUGACAUAGAACACCAAUUGCGAAGGCAGCUUACUACAGGAAUAUUGACACUGAUGCACGAAAGCGUGGGGGAUCAAAACAGG